AACGUGGAGACAGGUGGUGCAUGGCUGUCGUCAGCUCGUGUCGUGAGAUGUUGGGUUAAGUCCCGCAACGAGCGCAACCCUCACCCCUUGUUGCCAUCAGGUCACGCUGGGCACUCUAGGGGAACUGCCCCGGUCAACGGGGAGGAAGGUGGGGACGACGUCAAGUCAUCAUGCCCCUUACGUCCUGGGCUACACGCGUGCUACAAUGGCCGGUACAAAGGGAUGCAAGACCGUGAGGUGGAGCUAAACCCAAAAAGCCGGUCUAAGUUCAGAUUGGAGUCUGCAACUCGACUCCAUGAAGGAGGAAUCGCUAGUAAUCGCGCAUCAGCACGGCGCGGUGAAUACGUUCCCGGGCCUUGUACACACCGCCCGUCACACCACGAAAGCCAGCUGUACUCGAAGUCGCUGAG
rnacentral:rRNA from 1 species